rnacentral:rRNA from 1 species
AUUGAACGCUGGCGGCAGGCUUAACACAUGCAAGUCGAACGAGAGGCGGACGGGUGAGUAAUGCUUGGGAAUCUGGCCUAUGGAGGGGGAUAACGACGGGAAACUGUCGCUAAUACCGCGUAACAUAGGAUGAGCCCAAGUGGGAUUAGGUAGUUGGUGGGGUAAUGGCCUACCAAGCUGACGAUCUCUUGCUGGUCUGAGAGGAUGACCAGCAACACCGGGACUGAGGUACGGCCUGAACUCCUACGGGAGGCAGCAGAGGUGAAUAUUGCGCAAUGGGGGCAACCCUGACGCACCCAUGCAGCGUGAAAGAAGAAGGCCUUCGGGUUGUAAAGUUCGUUCGUUAUUAAGGCGUUAAAUACAGAAGAAGCACCGGCUAACUCCGUGCCAGCAGCCGCGGUAAUUC